CCAUUCAAGCAAUGCCACAAAACCAACAAUCUGCAGCUACAGGUGGGCAACACCAUUGCCCUAUCCAGGCAGGAACAUGACAGGAAGUCAUAGACGAUUUGGAAUCUGGAAGUGUGUAGCCUGCCUCCUGCACUUAACCGAAGCAGCAGCCAUGUUGUACAGCUGAUGGGUACGGGCAAGAUAAAUCAUGGCACACAGAGGUUUAUCUGCAGUAAAGGUUAAACACGACGCAUAAACCUCUGCAGUAAAGGUUAAACACGACGCAUGAGCAUAAUUGCCGAAUGACUUGAGAAGGAAAAGGAUGACCAAGUCUUCAGAAUUUAAUUGAAGAAUAAGUUGAAAAGAUGGCCGCCUUUCAGAACUUACGGCGUGAGUAUAUGCAUCGGGCAACUAUGCAGCGAAAAUGGUUUACGAAAUCAACGGACAAAUUUGCACUUGUCUGCAGGAUGAGAACUCUUAUAAUAUAGCAAACUAGAGAAUGGAAACAAGGUGCGGAAGGUGUGUGUCCAUUUUCUUUUGAAGCAUCUAGUUACAUGUUACACAUUGUACAGUGAGCGUCCUGCCAGCUUUUUAUCUUUCCUGGCAAAAGAAAGAGAGAGAAAGAAAGGAAGAAAUCUGUCUGUAUAACUUUGUUUUACAACUUGAGAUGGAAACUGAUGCAUGCUUUACUUGAUGCAUGCUUAACUGGAGAA